rnacentral:lncRNA from 1 species
GAUGACAUGAUUACUUUAUAAUGAGGCGGAGCUUACAAAAUAUGCUGAGAGAGAAACUUUGCCUUAUUUUUAAUGUUCCUCUUCCGUUUGUUUAUUCGUCGAUGAAAGGCAUGUAACGAAUUUCCUUUGCUUGGUUGGCAACUUGGCACCGGCAGCUUUGGUUCCAACAAACUCCAUUCCUUAGCUCCCUAUCUUGGUUCGGAUUUUCCGUAAAAUUAAUUUUACCAUUGGCCAAACUUAGAGCACAAGAGGGUUAGACUCGUUGGUUAGGGCAAUAAGCAAAACCCUUACAUUCAAGUUGAAUUGUUUUUUCAAUGUACCCAUGUUUUCUUUUAAAGAAAUUAGGUUUGUGUAUUGAAAUAUUGCAUUUUGGGGUUCCAUUUAUUGCAUUUUCUUAAUUAGAAAAAAAGAAACCAAAAAAAAAAAAAAAAAGGAACUAAAGACUACUACUCUUAUAGCAUUUCUGGCGUGCAGCCCUAGCCCGGGCAAAAGGGGGCCUAGGUCCGUGGAGGCGCUUCUAGCGCACAAAUGCAGCCCGAACAAGACGUGGGCUCCACCAACCCGAACAAGGUCCAAGGCAAAAUUAGCAUGUUCUUCUACUUGAGGGAUGUGACAUCAGCACUGAUGCCAGGUUGGCGUCAUCGCGCGAAUUUGAAUUCUUUUUACCGUUAGC